rnacentral:tRNA from 1 species
GCAGGCAUAGUUUAACAAAAACAUUAGAUUGUGAUUCUAAAAACAGGGGUUAAAACCCCCUUGCCCGCC